rnacentral:lncRNA from 1 species
GAUGCUAUGCGACUCUCUUAAUUCUGCCUUGAGGGCAACUGUGCAGAAGCAGCAGAGCAUCUAUAAGCCCCUCAAGUGUCCAACGUCGAAGUAAGAAAAACAAAAACAUGCUCCAAGCAAACAAAUAUAGCAAGACAAUAUCGAAGCACCCACGAAACAUGCAUAUCGGAGUUUAUCCUUAUAUUGGAGAUCCAUGACUAAUGAUCCACACCUAUAAACAAAAUCAAUAAUUUAAUUUCAGCGACUCUUCUCCUAAGUACAAUGUCAUACUAUCAUGACAAAUUAUGUUCUAGACUCAAAAGAGGCCUAGUGUGACGAGCUCUUUCCUUGCCGCUGAGCAGGGCAGAGUAUUACUUAUUACUUGGGAUGGGUAGUUCAUUUCUCCGUGAAUCUGAAUGUUUGUAAUUUGUAAACCCUGAUAUAGAACUUCUGCUCCUAAUAUUGCCUGCACCAGUUCUCCGACCAAAAAUGCCACAUAUUGUCCAAAGACAUGUAAAUAGCAGUCCAUGACUUUGGAAACGUUAGCAGUAAUUUAUUAGUUUGACGUAAUACUUUGGAUCUACAGAAAAAGUCGUGUCUGCGCUAAUACUUGAAGUUUUUCGAUAGUUCUCCAUCCACUCUCUUCAUAUCAUGAAUCCUCAAUAUCCUCACAACAUAGAAAAUAUCAUGCAACCAAUCUUGCAACAGAAAAUCAACCAAGAAGGAAUGGCCAUGCCCAUCAAUGUGCCAUGACUGAACUGUGUCCUCCCAAUUCUGGAAAGCAAUUUCAAAGAACUGUUUCCUUCCAAUGUGCCAUGCCAAGGAACAACUGAUAUUCUCAAUAUGCAAUGGACAAAAGUAACCCUCCAGAUGUAGAACAAUCAUGAUGGUGAAUGAUAAUAUCAAAAGUUCAAGAGCAUAGUAGACUUCCACUAAUGGGAAGUUUCUACCACAGAUCCUGUACAGUGAAUUCAAACCCAAAACCUUUUCCCCCACUUUUUGUUUUUCCUAUAACAGGAAGAUCCAUGGAAACAGUAGCACAUUGCUUUGCCGUGUUGAGGGGAAAAAGCAAACAUAGAGAAGAAGAUCCAUCCACAUAAAAAUUUGAGAAACAA